ACCUUGAUAGCUCAGUUGGUAGAGCACAGGUCUUAAGGCGGUUCCUCAUAUUAAGUGCUGUCAUUCCAAUGUCGCUGGUUCAACUCCCGCUCAAAGCA
rnacentral:tRNA from 1 species